GGGGAAUAUUGCGCAAUGGGGGAAACCCUGACGCAGCAAUACCGCGUGAGGGGAGACGGUUUUCGGAUUGUAAACCUCUGUCCUUGGUGACGAAAAAAAUGACGGUAGCCAAGGAGGAAGCUCCGGCUAACUACGUGCCAGCAGCCGCGGUAAUACGUAGGGAGCAAGCGUUGUCCGGAUUUACUGGGUGUAAAGGGUGCGUAGGCGGCACUGCAAGUCAGGCGUGAAAUAUAUGGGCUUAACCCAUAGACUGCGGUUGAAACUGUGGUGAUUGAGUGAAGUAGAGGUAGGCGGAAUUCCCGGUGUAGCGGUGAAAUGCGUAGAGAUCGGGAGGAACACCAGUGGCGAAGGCGGCUUACUGGGCUUUAACUGACGCUGAGGCACGAAAGCAUGGGUAGCAAACA
rnacentral:rRNA from 1 species